CAGCGAAACGGCAAACCCUCCGCAAGGAGGGGACGCAAAGCCACGGGACCCACGCGGUCAGCCGGGCUACCGAAC
rfam:Cellulomonas flavigena DSM 20109, complete genome.